rnacentral:rRNA from 1 species
GUAGGGAAUAUUGGUCAAUGGGCGAGAGCCUGAACCAGCCAAGUCGCGUGAAGGAAGAAGGAUCUAUGGUUCGUAAACUUCUUUUGCAGGGGAAUAAAGUGCGGGACGUGCCCUGUUUUGUAUGUACCCUGAGAAUAAGGAUCGGCUAACUCCGUGCCAGCAGCCGCGGUAAUACGGAGGAUCCGAGCGUUAUCCGGAUUUAUUGGGUUUAAAGGGUGCGUAGGUGGUUUGAUAAGUCAGCGGUGAAAGUUUGCAGCUUAACUGUAAAAAUGCCGUUGAAACUGUCGGACUUGAGUGUAAAUGAGGUAGGCGGAAUGCGUGGUGUAGCGGUGAAAUGCAUAGAUAUCACGCAGAACUCCGAUUGCGAAGGCAGCUUACUAAGCUACAACUGACACUGAAGCACGAAAGCGUGGGGAUCAAACAGGAUUAGAAACCCGGGUAGUCC